AACCAGUCAGUCUCUCUCUCUCUCCUGUAAUUGGGGUCAAGUCCGCCGGGCAAUCCCGGCGUUUGCCCGUUCCCCGGGCAUCUCGCCGGCAAUGCCGGCUCAGAUCUACUGUCGUGAGCUUGAUGCGUGACUCCGUGUGCUCUUUCUAAUCCUCACACCAACAUUCGGCGGACGAUACCUGUAAUUGAGAGAUGGAGGUGGAGAAAAGACGGUCAUAGGGAGGCUUCCUACAGUUUUUCGGCUGAAAUAGCAAGUCCAGGAAGAAGCUGUUCUCAAACAGUCCUGGUAUACCGGGUCCUGAUGGAGUUAAGCAAGGAACAGAUGAUGCAGAUAUUUUGGCGAAGUCAAGGUUUCAGAUGGUGGGAGGUUUUUUGAUACUACUGUUGUCCAAAUCAUUUUUAGUCGUGUAUGAGUUCCAUCUAUUUGACUUGCAUAAUUUGUUGCCUUGUUGUAGAAUGUUAUUGAUGAUUAGCAUUUGCAGAGGUUAUGUAGGUAUUUCUUGUCCACUCCACUGCGACGAUGAUGGCCUUGGAAUAGUGUGCACUGGGUUUGAAUAGACUGGAGUGGGUUUAGUGAAGUAGUAGUCCUACUGAUGAGCAAAAUGUCCGCCACCGGUGCAGCUUGAUGUGCUUAGGUUACUUUGGAUGGUGGUUUCUCUUGAUUAUUGGCCCAAUAUGUGUGAUAUCUGGUCAACAGGGAAUGACAUAAUUGCUUGUGCGUGCGAAUAAUAAGUGAAAUUGAUUGAUUGUGCAUAUUUCUAA